AGUACACAGUUCGUUUAUAGUGCAAGAAAACUUCGCUUUCAUGAAGCUCUUUCGAAAUAAAAUCGGUAUACCUUGCAGACGGAAAGGUCAGUAUUAAAUUUAGCUAUUUUUUAAACGUUUUUGAGUUGUUCUUGUUAUGUUAUUGCUGUCUUUUAAAACACGUGUGUAAUGUACAUUUAUUCAUUGUAUUAAUAAGUAUUGAAUUCGAUUCUCAUUCAAGCGCUUCGUUUCGGCGCUUAAUCGCUUUAUUUCCUUGGUUCUUCUCCCUCAUUUUCUAGCAGCAAUGUUCAGAAAUGCCCCAGCUUCGAUUUAUUUAACUCAUACUUAGUUUAUCUGUGAUUUCAGGGCGAAAAUUUGAAGAGAAAGUGAACUAAUUUAAGUCGCCGACAUGGUUGAAAAGGCAAAGCACUUGGUAAGCAUAAUGUCCACAAAAGGCGUUUCCCUCUUGUUUUUCUUUUCGUUUUUAAGCUUCCUUUAUAUACCUAUAACGUCUUCUAGUAAAGCCUUGUUGCUUUAUGAACACUCUCUGUCAAAUUUAGUUAAGUUUUGUUGAAAAUUUUGUCCGUACAGAGCGAAAUGCCGACUCAAUUUAGGCAUGUUCAAUUCGAUAUGCAUUUCAAACAUUUUAGCUUCUACAAACUUGUCGUUUAUGUACAAAUUGUACUCUAAGAGGCAAGGUUAAGUUUGAGUUUUUUGAGGUUGCCUAAAUUGAUUUAAUCCAAAUCUUUUAAAGAAAUUCAGAGAUGAAAUGCCCUCGUGGUUCAUGGCCUAAUUUUAUGCAUACAUACACGCAUUCUUUAAAAUUGAAAUAAAUUGAAUUGGACAACCACACUCUGUGUAAAAGACAUUAAAUAGCUCUUCGCUUUUGUGUUGAAACUAAAAAUUCAUUAUCCAACUUUUUUAGAUUGCCUCGAGUUCAUCAUUCUGACGGCAAACAGUACAGAAAGACCUCAGCACAGAUUUGAAGAGACGUUCGCCUAGCAGUAGAAGCAAAACGAGAAGACGGGAAGGCAAAGGACAAAUGAAGACCACCAUCAGCUUGCCCACAGCAUUCAUCGUCGAAUUUCGUAUGUACCAAGUUUGGAAGAGACAGUAACCAAGACAUAGGCCAUACUCGAUCUGUGUCAGGGUUUAAGAGCGACUCGGCUGCCUUAAAAAUACAAGUAAAACUUAAUACCAUAGUCUGACAGUGACGGAACGCUCGAGAGCAGAUACACCCAUCAUCAGAUUCUGCUCAGUCAGCCAAAAGGUGACGUGCAACCACUUUCAUGGGAUUCAAAGGACAAAAACAUUUUCACCAUGUUGGAUAAAUUGUCAAUGUCAUCCAACAUGGCGACAUAACUUGCACACCACCUAUUGUGAAUGGGUGCCAAGAGCUGUCAAGCCGCGACGCGACGCCGUACCAUCCAAGGACCAUAACCAACGCGCCACAUUAUCGUUUCCAAAGACUGAGGGAUGCCUACCUAUACCAGCCAAUGAAAUAGGCGUGAAAGAUGCUGUACAUUACAGAAGGUAUAUAUUUUCUCGUGAUACUCGUUGGUCGUGUUCGAAAGUACGCGGGGGACCACCCUGAGGACGCCCAAAUGCACAAAACAAAUUUUAAAAAUGAAUGUGGCUCCUUUCCCUUAAUUUCGCAAUUUAUUCAAAUUUUUCAUAUUUCUUUGUAUUUGUGAAAAGCUCUUAACGAAAUCAAAAUGCUUGAAAUUCGGAAGUUUCUAUCUGGGAGUUUGUUUAUAUGAAAGAUAUUUGAAAUGAAAUUUUGAAGUUUACAUCACUUUGGUAUUUGGUUUAAACGCUAGAUAAAAUCAUGCCAGAGGAGUGGUCGACCAUUCGUCGAAGUUUGGUGAUACUUUGGCUCGGACUUUCUCGACCUACAGUCGAGUUGCUCGGAUCGAUUGUCGUGAUCAACUAGCACAGGUGCAAGAUCUGGCCAACCUUACAUCAGUGCUUUUUGUUCGUGGCAUGAGAUUGGGGCAGCUCGCCUGUAGGCCUGGAAAGAUCAAGCGGAAGUACCACCAAACUUUGAUUUGUGGCCGGCUUUUUGUCUGUAUGGCUUUACCCAGCGUUUUCCCGUUAUCAUUUUGAUGCAGACUUUGGGAUUUUGGCUUGAAUAUCUUUAAUAUAAACAUUCUUUGAGGUUUAAUCUUUCAAGAAUUUCAUGGUUUUUGACUAGUUAAUGUGUUGCUCGCAGAUACAAUAAUUGUAUUACAAAAAUUUAACCAAUAAAAUUAAAAACUGACCAAAACGUCAUUUGAGGUGUCGGAUGGGAGGUCCAGUGGGAGUCGUAGCGGAUAUCAAUGGAUAAAUACGGAUUACUGUUUACUAUUGGAGAUCGAUACUGUGAACAUUAAUGGAUUAUUAUGAACAUUGAUGGAUUACAACGAACACUUAUGGAUUAUUAUGAACAUUUGUGGAUAAAUGUACCUCGUGAUCGACGGUUACCUACCAAUGUCCUUGAUAACGAAAGCUACACGACGGCAACGAGAUGACUGCCUCAAGGUUAGAGGGUUUGAUUAGGAUUAGCCUGCUAUCAGGCUGUAGUUAGCCUGCUAACAGGCAGUAUAUCUGUAGGAUUCAUACCCAGGACUCUAAUUUGCAUGUGUUCGGUGAAGUCUCUGGGAUAAACCGUUUCAAUUCCUGGCGGUCUGUCGUUCGUAGUACAUUUGCACACAAGGUUGACUUUUAUUCAGAUGUUUGCAUGCUAAUAAAAAAUGAGGUACAAUUUUGAACUCAGUCGAUUAGAAUUUCGACAUCAUCUGCAAUCGAAAGUCCAUCUUAAUUAAGAGGUUAACAUUUGAGCUUCCGGUCACGUGGUUCUUUGCAUGCACUCGGUUCGGUUGUUGGUGGGUUUCAGUAAGUGUUACAAUCCAGACGAUGGAGUAAUUUAUUUGCUUCAAAUACUUGCUGGGGCAAUUAUUUGCUUCAAAUACAAGACUAUACUACAUAAAGUGAACAUUAUUUUUUCACUCUAGUAACUCGUAGUGAGACCCACUAGCUAUUUGCGGUCUGUUCGUGCCAAUGUUGUUCUCUUUGUGUAAAUGUACUGCUUAGGUGUCUCCGUGUCUGUGCAUGGAUAAACGCAGCGCGCAGCUAGUAUCCAGAAUAUAGGCAGACGAGUAAAACCUUGCCAGACUUAAAAUUUUUGUUUAUAUCGAUAUGUUAUGUUCAUAAAUGUAUAGAAAUAUCAUGAAAUGUGUUCGGCUUUGGCUUGGGGUUAAUCUAACCCAAAAACCUUAACCUUAAUUCAUUACAUGAUCUGUAUAUUUGUGUACUUAAUAUAUGGGUGUAACCAAAAUUUUGUUGAAAAGUUGGCAUAGUUUUGCUUGGGUAGGAUAACUAAACUGGAUGCAAAUGGUAUCCAUAGCUUAGAGGGUGCAAAUGGUACCCGUAAGAAGAUUGGUGGAUAUCGUUGUGGACAAGAUUUUUUGAAAGAUGUGGAUUCUCUCCGGGUAAUCCGGUUUCCACCUACAGAAUGAUCAGCUUAGGACUGCAUGUAAUGAAAUAAUUAUUGUAAUGAUAAACAGUCUAGGCUUUACUGAAUAAGGCCGUAGUGCAUGUAUAUCGCUGGUUUCGAACGUUAGUUUUCUGCCCCGAGUUCUAUGAAAACAGUUCGCUACCAGAGAUUAGGUUCCCUCUCUGUCAUGGCGGCUCGACGAUGGAAGACAAUUAACAUAAUGCAUGCUAAUCUUACCCCUGUUUGUGGAAGCUCAUCAGGUGCAACCGGCACACUAAGUUAAGUUAAGCUAAGGGCAUGACCGAGACUCCACAUUCGGGGGUUUCCCUUGCAGGUUUUUGAAAGGUUAUAUGCGCGCGCGCACUAGUUAGGAAGGUUAGGCAGCUAGUAAUAGGGCGCUUUGCGUGUAUACUAUAAGGCAUGUAUAUUAUAAUUCAUUAUCAUCAUACUUUUGCGCUAGUAACAUUCUGAGAAGUAUUUAAUACAACAGGAAAUUGGAAUCUGUUUUCCUGUUGAAAAAUACUUACAGAACCAAUUCAAAGUGGAAAAAAAAAGAAAAUAUUGCGAAAAAGAAAAAACGAAAAACGCGAAGCCACUUUGAAUAUAAGCAACAAUAGUCCAAGAAUACUCGUUGCAGAAAAAAACAGCAAAAAAGAAACAAUUUUCCGCCCAAAAUGUCUUGGAUUAGGGGCUUAACGAUAAGAAACGUAGCUCUCGCUCCAAAGUGGAGAAUAGGCUCGUUUCUUUAGGUUGCUAAUGCAUUGCGCGCGCUUUAUAAAUCCUACUAUAAAUUUUCAGUUGAAAAGACCGCCAGGGAAUAUAGGGUGUUUUCAUGUGUUGCUUUGUUGACGGACAAGUUUUCAAAAUAAUGAUUUUCUUAUUUCUUUGUAUUUCGGCACUUUAACUUGUUCCCAAACAUAGCCGCCGUGAAAACACUCUGCAGAUCAAGUUUAUAUAUGGUAGCAAUAGCAAUAUAGAAUGUUUGCCAUGUUGCAUUCCGUGUUGUCUUGCAUUGUUCAUAUAUAAGCUUGGUCGAACCAUGGAUCAUAAAAACACCAUGGUCCAACGCAGCUAAUUAACAUAAGCAGCGCGCGCGCGUGCGGCUGUAAUGCGGAGUACAGUCAGUGAGUGUACUCCAUGUGCAAAUAGUGACGUGUGCUUUUAGAGUUGAAAAAAAUAAGGUGCAUGUUGAUUAGAAUAAAGUGCGCAAAGUUUCAUGCAUAUAAAAAUUAAACGCGCUUAGUUGCAUGCUAAGUAAAAUUAAGGGCAUGAAAACCAGUGCAUGCUUAUUUAAAUUGGUGCGCGUGUUGCAAUUUCCUUGCGCGCGAUAAAAGCAAAAUGCGCCACAAAUCUAAAUAUAGAAAUGCACACAUCACACCUCCAAAAUGCAUCCAAGUGUCCUAACAGCUUUUACAAACUAUCGUAAAAUAUGUUGGGCCAUUGGAUUCAUUUGCCACGCACCUUGUCCUGAACAUAUUUGAAAUAUUUUCAGAUUUCAAGGUUAAGACAAAUAUACCCUUGUGUGGAACAAUUUGUUCAUAAAAAGAGAUAUAUUUGUCUUGCGCAAUUUGUAGACUGAAUUUUCGGGUGGUCUACAAUUUUUUUUUGAACAUUUCGUGAAUUUUUUUUCUUAAAUUCGUUGAUUUUGUUAAAUUAAAAUUUUAUUAGUUACAUGAUGUACAAAUAGAUAUGAC